UGGUGGCGACCGGCGCACGGGUGAGUAACGCGUAUGCAACCCUUCUAUCAGAGGGGGAUAACCCGGCGAAAGUCGGACUAAUACCGCAUAAAACAGGGGCACCGCAUGGUGAUAUUUGUUAAAAAUUUAUUGCUGAUAGAUGGGCAUGCGUUCCAUUAGGUAGUUGGAGAGGUAACGGCUCACCAAGCCUACGAUGGAUAGGGGAACUGAGAGGUUGGUCCCCCACACUGGUACUGAGACACGGACCAGACUCCUACGGGAGGCAGCAGUGAGGAAUAUUGGUCAAUGGGCGAGAGCCUGAACCAGCCAAGUCGCGUGAAGGAAGAAGGAUCUAUGGUUCGUAAACUUCUUUUGCAGGGGAAUAAAGUGCAGGACGUGUCCUGUUUUGUAUGUACCCUGAGAAUAAGGAUCGGCUAACUCCGUGCCAGCAGCCGCGGUAAUACGGAGGAUCCGAGCGUUAUCCGGAUUUAUUGGGUUUAAAGGGUGCGGAGGUGGUUUGAUAAGUCAGCGGUGAAAGUUUGCAGCUUAACUGUAAAAAUGCCGUUGAAACUGUCGGACUUGAGUGUAAAUGAGGUAGGCGGAAUGCGUGGUGUAGCGGUGAAAUGCAUAGAUAUCACGAAGAACUCCGAUUG
rnacentral:rRNA from 1 species